UGGCACCUCGAUGUCGGCUCAUCACAUCCUGGGGGUGAAGAAGCUCCCAAGGGUUUGGCUGUUCGCCAAUGAAAGUGGUACGUGAGCUGGGUUCAGACCGUCGUGAGACAGGUCGGUCCCUAUCUGCUGUGGGCGUACGAAACCUGAGGAGGUUUUUCCCUAGUACGAGAGGAUUUGGAAGGACGUUCCUCUGGUGUACCAGUUGUCGCGCUAGCGGCACGGCUGGAUAGCUAUGAACGGAAAGGAUAAACGCUGAAGGCAUAUAAGCGUGAAGCUCUCUCCAAGAUUAGGUUUCGUAGAGCUAUUAGCUCGAGAGUCCCCUGGAAGACGACCAGGUUGAUAGGCCGGAUGUGUAAGUGCAGUAAUGUAUUCAGCUUACCGGUACUAACGGACGAAUGCUUGACCGC
rnacentral:rRNA from 1 species